UGCAGUCGAGCGGAACGAGUUAUCUGAACCUUCGGGGAACGAUAACGGCGUCGAGCGGCGGACGGGUGAGUAAUGCCUAGGAAAUUGCCCUGAUGUGGGGGAUAACCAUUGGAAACGAUGGCUAAUACCGCAUAAUACCUACGGGUCAAAGAGGGGGACCUUCGGGCCUCUCGCGUCAGGAUAUGCCUAGGUGGGAUUAGCUAGUUGGUGAGGUAAUGGCUCACCAAGGCGACGAUCCCUAGCUGGUCUGAGAGGAUGAUCAGCCACACUGGAACUGAGACACGGUCCAGACUCCUACGGGAGGCAGCAGUGGGGAAUAUUGCACAAUGGGCGCAAGCCUGAUGCAGCCAUGCCGCGUGUGUGAAGAAGGCCUUCGGGUUGUAAAGCACUUUCAGUCGUGAGGAAGGUAGUGUAGUUAAUAGCUGCAUUAUUUGACGUUAGCGACAGAAGAAGCACCGGCUAACUCCGUGCCAGCAGCCGCGGUAAUACGGAGGGUGCGAGCGUUAAUCGGAAUUACUGGGCGUAAAGCGCAUGCAGGUGGUUUGUUAAGUCAGAUGUGAAAGCCCGGGGCUCAACCUCGGAAUAGCAUUUGAAACUGGCAGACUAGAGUACUGUAGAGGGGGGUAGAAUUUCAGGUGUAGCGGUGAAAUGCGUAGAGAUCUGAAGGAAUACCGGUGGCGAAGGCGGCCCC
rnacentral:rRNA from 1 species